rnacentral:rRNA from 1 species
GGGUCAGUAGGUUGGUCGUGCCACCGGUACGUACUGGUCUCACUGAUUCCUCCUUCCUGAAGAACCGUAAUGCCAUUAAUUUGGUGUUGCGGGGAAACAGGACUGUUACUUUGAAAAAAUUAGAGUGUUUAAAGUAAGCUAACGCUUGAAUACAUUAGCAUGGAAUAAUGAAAUAGGACGAUCGAUCCUAUUUUGUUGGUUUCUAGGAUUGACGUA